AUGUCCAAUAUAUAUUUUAUAUGUUAUUAUAUAUUAAUUAAUUAUGACUCUACAAAUGUUACAGCCACAAAUGUAUAUGACAAUGUUAAGGAUAAAAAAUGCAUCUCCUUACUUUUUAAUAUAUGCAAAAUUAUAAUUAAAUAUUAUUUUAUUUUAAAUAAAAAUUUAGUACUUAUGAGUUUUAUUUUUUUUUUAUCUUAUUUUUUUUAUGAUAACGAUGAUAAUUUUUUUGUUCAUAAUCAAUUCUUAUUUAAUGAUAAAAUAAUUACCUUCCUCGAUAAGAACUAUAUUACUAUAAAAGAAAUAACGGAAUUAAAAACAAUACUACAAAGUUUUUCACAUUAUACUUUGUGUAGCACAUUUUUUUAUGAUAAAAAGGAAGUUUUGAAUAACGCAGAAAAUCAAAAAAAUACGCAAAUAGUUCCAAAAUGUUUAAAAAAUUACAAAAAUAAAACAAAAAUUUUAAACUGUAUCAAACAUAGUGAUAAUAAAAAAAAAAAAAUAAACAAUUCACAAAAUAGCCAAAAUAGAGAGGACAACUCGGAACUUUUUUACCAUACAGACACUUUAAAAAACAAACAAAAAACAAUUCAAUCGAAUUCGUAUUUUCAAAACGAUUUAUAUUGUAUAUUUUACAAUUUUGUAAGAUUAUUAAAAAUAAAUAAUAAUAAUAAUAAUGAUAAACUAUGGUUUUAUAAUUGGACAAAUUAUUCAACUGAAUGUUUAAAUUAUUACAUUAAAAAUUAUUUUUUUAAAUAUAUGUAUAAUAUAUUUUUGUUUAAAAGACAAAAUAAUAUCUUUCUUCUUAAUUUUUUAAAAGGAUAUAUAUAUUAUAGUUUUAUUAACAAAAAAAUAAACUCAAACAAUAAUCGUAACAAUUUUUUUAUGUUAAAUUAUUUAUUGUAUUUAUAUGAAAUUACUGAUUAUGUUUGUAUACAUAACGAAGGAAUUUCAUUAUGUCAUGAUGACGGUAAUAUAUUAAAUGAAAAUAAUAAACUUUUUUGUUUAAAUUUUUUUAAAAAAAAAAAACAACAAUAUUUGGAUCAUUCUAUGGAUGAAUUAAAAAAUGAGCAAAAUUUUGUACAUUCUAAAAUUCGUAAUAUAAAAGAUGGAUUUAAAUUUCAAAAUGUUAGAUUAAUUAACGACAUCAGCAUUUUUUUUUUUCUCUUUACAAACAACGAAAAAGUACAAAAUUAUGUUGAUGAAGUUAUUUAUAAUAAAUGGCAUAGUAAUAAAAAGAGUAACAAGAAAAAAAGAAAAACUCAAAAAAUUAAUGGAUUAGUUUUAGAAAAUGAUAAAUCAUGUGAUGAAAACUAUACCACAAACUCCUCAAGUUCAUUUGUAUCUGCUCAUAAUAAUGAGAAUGAUAAAGAGGUGGCUAAAGGACACAAUGAAUGUGUCACAGUAGUGAUUGAAGAUACUACAAAUACCACACAUGCCACGAAUACCACACAUGCCACACACGCCACACANNNNNNNNNNGCCACACACGCCACACAUGCCACAAAUACCACAAAUACCACAAAUACCACGAAUAUCAAUACAGGUACAAAAUCAAGCGACAAUGCGACUAUCACUUCUAUAACUGGUCAUAAAAAAAAUAAAUACACAACACGUGAGAUCAACAAACUACUGCAGUGUUUACAUUUUAUUAACUAUUAUUUAGAUUCGGUUAUAAUUAUGUUAUGUAUAUAUAUUGAAAUUGAAAAAAAAAAAAAUCUGAGUAGCAAUAGUAAGACUAAUGAUGAACCUUAUUUAGCCGAACUAAAUAAAAAUCACUAUAAAGACAUAUUUAAAAAUAAUUUAAUACUAAACAUACUAAAUGAAUAUUCGAGUAUUUAUGAUAAUUAUUUUUGCUUAGCAAUAAAAAUAAAAUUUUUACAUAUAAAUAAAAUAUCUUUAAAAAAAAAUAUAAACAAAUUACUUUUAUUUUUACAUUAUAAUAAAUUAAAAAAAAAUAAAAUGAAAUUAAAAAAAAAUAAAAUGAAAUUAAAAAAAAGUAAAAUGAAAUUAAAAAAUGAAAACAGUACAAAAAAUACCUAUACAUAUUAUUAUUAUAUUUCUUUAUUACUAAUAUGUAUAAACAAAUGCUUUUGUGUAUCUUAUAUAUGUUUAUAUGAUGACAUUUUAGAAUUUUUUUUUUGUAAAAAUUUGAUUUUUUUUUUUUUUAAUAUGACUAGCUCUUCUGAAUAUACAAAAAAAAUGUCCGAAUAUACACUAAAAAAUGCGUACUACUAUAUAAACAAAAUCAAACAAAUGAAAAAGCAAAAUGAACAAAACACACAACAUAUUCGUUCUAGACAAAGUAGUUUUAAAAAACUAAUAAACAAUGAUAGUAUUAUUAAUUGUUACAAAAAAUAUAUAAUCAAAAUCAGUGAUGACAAUGAAAAACAUAUACCAUUGUCAUGUUUCACUCCUCUUUCGAACCAUACUAAUAGCAACAAUUUAAUAAAUGUGAUAAUAUAUACAUAUAAUAAAGUGAUAACAUCGUAUAUUUAUAAAAAUGUAAUAAACAUUGAUUCAACAACAAAGUUCUACAAUAUUCUUAACUUAACCAAAUUCUUAGUUAUGAAUAAUUAUCAAUAUAUAUACAUAUAUAAAGAUAUAUGCUUGAACCUUAUUAAAUAUAUGACGACUAUGAAUUUUUGUUACUUAAAUAAUAUAAUAAAAGCUGAAUUAUUAAUACAUAUAUUAAAUGUUUUUAAUUAUAUACUUUAUAUUAUUUAUAAAUAUAUCAGCCAAAAUAAAAUCAAAAUAUAUAAUGACGAACAGUAUACAAAUAAAAUAAAUAAUAUGUUGUUCCAAGGUUAUGAUUGUAUUAAUAUGCAAGAGUUACAAACAAGAGAAAGCAAAAAUUUUUAUAAAACUAAAAAAAAAUCACAAAAAAAAAAAAAAAGUGACUCACCUAACCAAACUACUGAAGUACAAAAUACACAAAAAAGUAUAUUACAAUAUAAUAAUAUAAAAAGACUAGAUAAUAACAUAAAAAAAAAAAAAAGCAAUACCAUUGUACAUAAGAACAAAGCUACAGUAAUAAAAAAAAAAUUAUGUUUAUACAAUUUUUUGCUAUUUAAGUUUUACUUUUAUGACCUUUUAAAUGAAGACUUUUUUAACAUAACAGAAUGUCAUAAAAAAAAAAAAAAAAUUUCAAACAAAAUAAAAAACCAUAUAAAACAUAUUAUCACUGAAUUGAAAGAAAAUAUAAACUAUAAGAACGUUGUUAAUGUAUUAGUAAAUGAUGAUUUUUAUUUUUUGCAAAAGGACAAUAAACAAAAAAGAAAUUGUGGCAAGAAUGGUCACAUCCAACAAGAACAAACAAAUUUAUUGAAUAAAAGUUCAUAUGAUGAUGUAAAUAAUAAUGAAUUAAAUGGGUAUUCGAUUGUUAGAUAUACCGCAUCACAUAUUUUUAACUAUGUGAAAAAACAUCUUUAUCAUAAUAAUAUACACGUACGGUUUGCAGCACACCUAUGCGUACUUCGCUGCUUUUUUAUCUUAUCAACAAAGCUGUAUGAAUUAUACCCCAAAAUUCAGCAAGUGUGGCCAUAUGUUAAGAUAAAUUUGUCAAAAAACGAUUACAUGAAUGACAUAGUACUACUCAAAAUAAUAAACUAUAUUACUACAUUAGAUGAUAAUUUUUCUAUACAAAGAAUUUCAAAUGACAUAGUACCCCAACUGCUUCUGAAGUUUAAAAAUUUCGAAUUAAGCAAUGAUAUGCCUAGACAUAGUUACGAACACAAAUUUGUACUGAGUGUUAUGCAGCUUUUUUUGGUCAUUUCCAGAAAAGAAAAAUACUUCGAAACAACACAUUCAUCCAUUUUUUAUUUUUGUUUCAAAUUUUUGAAUAAACAUGUUGAUAAGAACAUUAUCAAGUUGUCAUUAAACAUUAUUUGUAAUUUAUUUCUUUAUGACAUCCCAAAGGUUAUUUUAUACGCCUGUAUCAUAUUUCUUAAUUCAUAGUUUUUUUUUUUUUUUUUUUUUUUUUUUUUUUUUUUUUUUUUUUNNNNNNNNNNNNNNNNNNNNNNNNNNNNNNNNNNNNNNNNNNNNNNNNNNNNNNNNNNNNNNNNNNNNNNNNNNNNNNNNNNNNNNNNNNNNNNNNNNNNUUUUUUUUUUUUUUUUUUUUUUUUUUUUUUUUUUUUUUUUUACAAAUUUCUAAUGCCGUAUUUUACUAGUGUUCACAUAUACUUAUUAAUAUAUGAGCUAACAAAUAUGCACGCACGUAUUAUGUAUGUAUAUAUUUUUUUUUUUUUUUUUUUGCUAGUGAGCUAUACUUUGUACCUACGGCGAUAAGUAUAUUUUUUUUUUUUUUUUUUUUUAACAUAU
ensembl:lncRNA